AAAAAAUUGGUUAAGAACUACAAAUUAUUUGUGAAUUGAUUGAUACUUUAAUACAUGUCACAAUAUUACUUGGUAAAGUAAAGUAAUUCAUUUUGUAAUAUGCAAAAUCCCGAUUAAAAUAUAAAUUUACAAAACACUCAACAAAAUUAAAAAAAAAAAUAGAUCAGAGGAAUUUUUUUGUUCACUAAAUAAUUGAAAACAAAAUGCAAAUUUUUGUAUUUGUAAACCUCUGAAUGGACAAAAGGUUCAGACUCUCCUCGUUUAUUCCUCUUCUUUAACUUGCUUCCUCACUCUUCUUCUAUUUAUUUAUGAGGCAUAGUGUUUUCAUCCUUUUUGACCUUCUAUUCUAGUACGACUCGAGAAAGAGGCUCGUCAUGGGAAGAUCUGGUAACGAUUAGUUUACAGCGAAUUAAAUAAAAAAUCAAAAUUGAAAAAACCUAAAUAUUAACAAUUGAUGCUUGAUUGAAUUCACUUACCAAGAAUUUGCUGAAAAACUUCCACCAAGUUUCUGAAAGCCAUGCCUCAAAAUCAUUAAAUUUUGUUGAAUCUCUCCAAUUUGACCACAAAGUAUCAACCUCUUCCCGAUACGACUUUAAACUUUACGGCCACGAUCCAGUUGAUCAUUUGCAAGAUGUUCGACGUACAUAAUUCUGCAUAUAUCAUUAUCUGAAAACUCGUUGGUGAUGAAUUCAAAGAAUUGUUAUAGACAAUGAAUGAUGUGAAGACAAAGUUUUGAAUGUGAAGACCAUUGCAAGCAUUCUAGAAUUUAUGAAGAAGAUUUGUCUUUCUGCAGAAAAAAAAAAGAGAAGAAAUUUGUUUUGUUGGAUUAGUGGAAAACUGAAAAGUG
rnacentral:lncRNA from 1 species